CUGUGUGUUGUUGGGUAGGGGAGCGUUCUGUAAGCCUGUGAAGGUGUGUCGUGAGGCAUGCUGGAGGUAUCAGAAGUGCGAAUGCUGACAUAAGUAACGAUAAAGCGGGUGAAAAGCCCGCUCGCCGGAAGACCAAGGGUUCCUGUCCAACGUUAAUCGGGGCAGGGUGAGUCGACCCCUAAGGCGAGGCCGAAAGGCGUAGUCGAUGGGAAACGGGUUAAUAUUCCCGUACUUGGUGUUACUGCGAAGGGGGGACGGAGAAGGCUAUGUUGGCCGGGCGACGGUUGUCCCGGUUUAAGCGUGUAGGUGUGUGUUCCAGGUAAAUCCGGUUCACUUUAACACUGAGGCGUGACGACGAGGCACUACGGUGCUGAAGCAACAAAUGCCCUGCUUCCAGGAAAAGCCUCUAAGCAUCA
rnacentral:rRNA from 1 species